rnacentral:miRNA from 1 species
CAGAAGGUCAGGUCAGCCUGAAUUUCAGACAAACAGUGAGUAAUGUUUCAGCAGAAAUGUGUCCCAUGCAAUAGUUGAGACAUACUUAUGUUAAAAACUAUUUGUUCUUAUCUGAAAUUCAAAUGUAACUGGCGUCCUG